rnacentral:rRNA from 1 species
UACGGAGGGUGCAAGCGUUAAUCGGAAUUACUGGGCGUAAAGGGCGCGUAGGCGGCCUUCUAAGUCGAACGUGAAAUCCCCGGGCUCAACCCGGGAACUGCGUCCGAUACUGGAAGGCUUGAAUCCGGGAGAGGGAUGCGGAAUUCCAGGUGUAGCGGUGAAAUGCGUAGAUAUCUGGAGGAACACCGGUGGCGAAGGCGGCAUCCUGGACCGGCAUUGACGCUGAGGCGCGAAAGCCAGGGGAGCAAACGGG